GUAGGUGGCAAGCGUUGUCCGGAAUUAUUGGGCGUAAAGCACGCGCAGGCGGUUCUUUAAGUCUGAUGUGAAAGCCCACGGCUCAACCGUGGAGGGUCAUUGGAAACUGGAGAACUUGAGUACAGAAGAGGAAAGCGGAAUUCCACGCGUAGCGGUGAAAUGCGUAGAGAUGUGGAGGAACACCAGUGGCGAAGGCGGCUUUCUGGUCUGUAACUGACGCUGAGGCGCGAAAGCGUGGGGAGCAAACAGGGAUUAGAUACCCUGGUAGUCCACGCCGUAAACGAUGAGUGCUAAGUGUUAGGGGGUUUCCGCCCCCUUAGUGCUGCAGCUAACGCAUUAAGCACUCCGCCUGGGGAGUACGGCCGCAAGGCUG
rnacentral:rRNA from 1 species